AUGUGAGAAAAAAGAAUAUAUACAUGUAUGUGUACCUGGAUCACCAUGCUGUACAGUAGGAAAAAAAAUUGUAUUGGGGAAAUAACAAUAAAAAAUAAAAUUAAAUAAAAGUAAAUAAAUCAUUUCUCCAGGAUCAAAAUAUUUGUGGGAGUCAUGCGUAUGGAACUUCAUGGUCAACUGCUGCCCUGGUCUUUCCUUUAAACCAAAAUAUAUUCAAAUUUUAACUAAGAUAGGUUCCAUUUUAAACAAGUAUCCUGGAAUGAAUCUGUUUCAAUAUAAUUACACUUUUUCUCUCCUGGGUUUUUAGAAAAAAUCAUAAAAUUUUAUUGAACAUGAACUCUAACUGAAAUAUAACAGAAACCUGAUCCUGACAAAAAUCUCAUUUCUUCUUGCUGUUAGCACCUGCAACCAUUUUGUUCAAGAGUUCUUAAGAGAGACUUAAAGCCUAUGCUGGGGAAAAGGACUAAGGUGCUCUUUGUUACCAAAAUCUGGUCCAUGUUGCUUUUUAUAUUUAGUGAAAACUAGAGGCCCCUAUUUUUAAAUAUGUUAUUUUUGUCUCAAACAUAAGGGCAUUCAAUAAGUUUUUCACAUCUUGAUUUGUUUAGCCCAGCUAGAACUCUGGGAUUUAAGAUUGGUUUAUUUGUUGCCAGUUAUCUUAAUCCAUAGGAGAAACAUCUAGUUUAAAAUCACAAUUAGCAAUGCUUUAUCUUGAUCACAGUGACAUGCCCCACUCUAUCAACCCUUUCCCUAUUUUAUGAUACUUUGUCUCUUAGAUCUUCUGACUCCUAUCCAGAGAGAUGUACUGGUAAAUAUUUAACAACUAGUUCUUGGGAGUGGGGGUGAGAAGCCCUGAUUUGUAGUGUUUGCCAUUUUCUCUGGUGUGAAUACUCCCAUCUGGCCUACUAUAACCUACCUUCAGUUGUCAUGGAAUGCAGAGUUUGUUUGUUUGUUUUAGGGCUGAAGCGGUAAAUACGGAAGUUCCCAGGCUAGGAGUCAAGUGGGAGCUACGGCCACCGGCCUAUGCCACAGCAACACAGAUCCGAGCCGCAUCUGCAAGCUACACUGUAGCUCAUGGCAACUCUAGAUCCUUAAUCCAUUGAGCAAUGCCACAGACCAAACCCGAGUCCUCAUGGAUACUAGUCAUGUUCGUUAACCACUGCACCAUGACAGGAACUCUCAGAAUGCAGAGUUUGGAAGAGGUGUGUGUUAUUGGCUCCUGUGAGCUGGUUCCACUUGGCUCCAGCACACCUCUGCUCUCUCCUAUGAGGCCCUCACUAAGCAGAAGAAUAUAAUCUGGUGGUUUAUUAUUUGGUGUAAAAUAGGAUAUCCUUCCAUCUCUUCUAAACCCACCUUCUCACUUUGCAUCCUCAUCAAGACAUACACAUCUAUUCCCUCAAUGUCCUUGUAUUAAUUUCAAGUAAGAUGGCUAUAAUAUACACUAAUUGUAGAUUUAGAAGAUCCAUUGCCUGGAUUUCUACCUUUACCACCAUCAAUUGCAUGUUCAAGCAGGUCAACCUCUCAGAGCCUCCGUUCCUCCUUUGGGAAACAGGGAUGGUAAUGUUCCCCACUUUCCACAAUUAUUGCUAAGCAAGGAAGAGAGGCUGUAUGACAGUGCUUUUAAACUUGAGUCUCAAGUUGCCUUAGAAUCAUUAGAAUCACCUGGAGAGCUUGUCAAACCACAGAUUGCUGACUCUCCUACCCCGACACAUAUAUAUCGUUUCAGAUUCAGAAGGCCUGAGUAACUGCUCUUCAGACAAGCUCCCAGGUGAUGCCAAUGCUGCCUUCAGGAGACCACAUUUUGAGCAGUCCUGUGAUAAAGCACCCUGUGGAUUUUUUAAUGUCAUGUAAACAUAAGGAGUUUUUAAUAGAGGAGUGUGGCUUAACACUUCAUCUCUCCAGGCCCCCAGGGGAUAGAUAUAUUUAAAGGAAUUCUCCAAGGAGAUAAAAUAGUGGUUUUGCCCAAGGAAGGAAUUCUGCUCAUUUCACCAGAGAGUUUACUGGGUUACACAAUGAGAUGUGGGGAUGCUGGGAAGGCACUGUGUAGUCUGGAAUGGAGUACAACAGCACCUUCAUCUGAUGAAUUCCUCAUUCCCUGGAAAAUUAGAAUUGCACUUUACAUGCAUAUGGGACUUUACAAGACCCCAAGCCUGCCCCUCUCUUAGUGCUUCCCUAUUCAGGAUAUGUCUUCACCACCCAACUGGUUCUCAGGCUAGAAUCAAGUCAUGUUCAUUUUUUCCACUGCCAUCACCAUCCCACAACAAGCAUCUAUCUUUUCUCAACUCAGUUACGACAAUGGCUUCCAAACUUUUCCAUCUGUACUUACUCUGUCGCUCUCUAAGGCACUCUUCACUUUGCAGGCAGAGUAGUAGUCUCAAAGAGAUCUCACACACACACCCCAAGAGCUUCCCCCUUGAUCUCAAGGUAAAGACAAGACUUCUGAAGCUCUUUGUGAGCUGGCUUCAACUAAAUCCCUCUAGCCUCACUUUGAGCAAUUCCAGCCACAUAGCACUGUCAAGGGAAAACCCAGAGGGAUACACAGGCAGUAAGAAAUGUUUCAUACAAUGUUUGCAAGACAGUCCAACCUUCAAAGGAAUGUGGCACCCUGAAUAAAGGAUUGAGUAUUUAAAGAAAGAUACCAUGAAGCUAUACUCAGUCCAAUUAUUAUUUCUCAAAAAGAAAACAGAAGUUCCUCACUUAAUUAUCAGAUCUGCAAGGGUCAUUAUAUUUCUGAAGACAUCAACAUUGUCAAAGUCAGCGAUAAAGUUGUUUUUAACUCUCAAGAAGGGGCUCAAGGCUUUAGUCAUUUUGAGACCUCGGAUUAGGGCAUUUUUUAUUUUUGUGGUCAUCUCAUGAUGCAAAAUUGCCUUUACUUCCCCCCCUCACUGUGUAUACAGUGUGUACUCUUAAGUAUAAUUGUGGGAGAGUAAAAUGCCAGUAGUCCUUGCCCAUGAGUUUUCAGACCCUUAAGCUACGCACUCUGCAUCUUCUCUUCUUUUUUUUUUUUUUUUUUUUUGUCUGUCUUCUAGGGCUGCACCCACAGGAUAUGGAGUUUCCCAGGCUAGGGGUCUAAUCAGAGCUGUAGCCUCCAGCCUACACCACAGCCACAGCAACGCCAGAUCCUUAACCCACUGAGUGAGGCCAGGGAUUGAACCUGCAACCUCAUGGUUCCUAGUCGGAUUCAUUUCCACUGCACCAUGACGGGAACUCCUGCAUCUUCUCUUUAUAGGCCUUUGUGCUACUGUUCCCACUGCCUGGUAUGCUCUCCUCUAUCUCUGCAUCUAGUGACCUCCUAUUUUCCCUUCAGGUUAUUGUUCCAUUCGCAACAGCAGCGAAGGCUUCUCUGACCUCCACCCUAGAUCAGAUCUCCCCACCCCACCCCCACCACCUACACACAGCCGAGAUCUCAUUAGCACUAUAUACACCAAUGCCUUGGGAUGUUUGUCAUGGUUAAAGUUUACAUUUAUAUCAGUGACUUUUAAAACUGAAUAUCUGAUUUUCCCAGUAGACUCAAGUAAAUCCAUACUCGAGAAAAGACAAUGUCUACCUUUUCUCCCUCAUUUUAUCCCCAGGCCCUGGUAGAACACGUGGCCUAGAGAAGGUGCUCAAUAAGUGAUUUUAGGACUUCUACAUUGGGAUCUCUUCUGAUUAUCAUUUGAUUUCCUAUGAGGUGGGCAGAACAUGCAUUGCUUUCCACAUUACUCCUAUUUGAUUAAAGAAGAAAUUAACAUCAAAGACAUCUGUGUCCUGCUCAGCCUAUGUGAAUAAGUAGAGGAAUGGAAACUUAAUCCCUCUCAGCUGGGUGACAAUGGCCUCUGGCUCUAAGGGCCUAGUAAUUCCUUCCCAGUGAAGCGUCAGAUGUAAAUAUUCCAGGAUGGAGGUGGAGAAUGGUAGGAGCAGACAAUCUUUCACAAGCUCUCCUCAAAUAUCUGGCUCGGGAAAUGUCAGAUCAGAUAGUCCCCAAGACCUUAAAAAAGGCAGAGAGACUAAACACUGAAACUACAUAGCCAAUGUAAGACUCCACAAUAUUUUUGUUCCUGUCCUCUCUGCUCAGAGAUAAGUGGACAUCAAAACACACUGACAUAUUGCUGCUUGUUUCUAAAGCUAGACGUUUAAGGAGUAGGUACCUAUUGGACUUCACAUAAUAAAACAUUAAUUGAACUUCACAGCUGAAAAAAUAAGAAAACAUUAUUUGCAUAAUGGCAAAUUGUCAGCUGUUCAAUAAAUCUUUGAUAUCAAGACUCGAGGCAGAACUCCAUGGCUAGAGUGGCUGGAACACUUGAGGCAGCACUUUUCUCCAAGCUUCUUUCAAAUAUACCAACUCUGGACUUAAUCCUAUGGGCUCCUCUGUACUAAUGCUAUGUGAUUUGAUGGAAGAAGAACAGUGUGCCCUAGUUUUGGCUUGAGCACAGUGUCUCCAAAAGUCUAGUCUCUGGGCAGUUCCCGUCAUGGUGCAGUGGAAACAAAUUCAACUAGGAACAAUGAGAUUGUGGGUUCGAUCCCUGGCUUCACUCAGUGGGUUAAGGAUCCAGCAUUGCCGUGAGUGUGGUGUAGGCCACAGAUGCAACUCGGAUCCUGUGUUGCUGUGGCUGUGGCAUAGGAUGGAAGUGGUAGCUCCGAUUUGACUCCUAGCCUGGGAUUCUCCAUAGGCCACAGGUGCAACCCUAAAAAAAAAAAAAAAAAAAAAAAAA
rnacentral:lncRNA from 1 species